rnacentral:lncRNA from 1 species
UAUCUUAGUCAUAAUAUUCUUUACUGGGCUAGUUGAGCUCACCCUUUUCUUUUUUGUUUUAUUUUUCUUCUCAGGAGACGAGAAUGUAGCGAGUACUAGUCGGGGUAUGGAAUGAAGGUCUUAGAAAGUUGUUUUAGUAGUCCUCACUAUUUUUGUAAAAUAAUAUAUCAAUAAUUGUAAUGAGGACUUAUUUAAGUGUUGAUAUUGUCUAGAAGACAAUA